CAAGGGUGUGUGUGACUUCCUGAGCAGCCACUUCAAUCCUAAUGUCCCUUUAAUAGUCCUUGUCAAAUUGCCAUGGCUCUUCCCCAGAGACUUCCAUGACUAUGGAAAAUAAAUAGCCAUAAUUUGACCUCCAGGGGAACUGAAGAUGUCUGCAGAAUUCCAGGAAAGGCCAUCAGCAAAUCAAGUAGAGCCAAUCCACCCUUUCAGAAACACAAAGCCAAGAACCCAUGACUGUGGCCCUAACCCUCUCAACAGCUAGAGGCUUUUCUGGGAAUCAUCAAGGAUGUGGUGACACACAGGACAAGGGAAACCCAUACUCCUUCCGGAAACUCUCAGGCAAAUGGGGAAAAGUGACGAUGGGCACGAUGCAGUGUACAGAGCCUCCUAGGACAGAUGUGUGACCAAGCUGUUGCAAGAAUGUUUCAAACUCCCCAAGUCAUACUGUCUGAAGG